GAUGAACGCUAGCGGCAGGCCUAAUACAUGCAAGUCGAACGGUGUCUUCGGACAUAGUGGCGCACGGGUGCGUAACACGUAUGCAACCUACCUUACAUUGGGGGAUAGCCUUUCGAAAGGGAGAUUAAUACCGCAUAAGACAGUAGCUGGGCAUCCAGCAGCUGUUAAAGAUUUAUCAAUGUAAGCUGGGCAUGCGUCCAAUUAGCUAGUUGGUGAGGUAACGGCUCACCAAGGCAAUGAUUGGUAGGGGAACUGAGAGGUCAAUCCCCCACACUGGCACUGAGAUACGGGCCAGACUCCUAUGGGAGGCAGCAGUAGGGAAUAUUGGGCAAUGGACGCAAGUCUGACCCAGCCAUGCCGCGUGCAGGAUGAAGGCGUUAUGCGUUGUAAACUGCUUUUAUACAGGAAGAAACGACUCUUGCGAGAGGCAUUGACGGUACUGUAUGAAUAAGCACCGGCUAACUCCGUGCCAGCCGCCGCCGUAA
rnacentral:rRNA from 1 species